AUGCCAAAAAGGGUACAAAUUAUCCGCUCAUCAGUGUAUCUUUCCCAAGCUUCAUAGAGGGAUUCACCUUCUUUCUAUUUAAAGGUUUGAACUUCCACUCUAAGCUU